GGGGAUGUAAAGGCUUCGACACUUGACAUCAUCGUACGGACUGCGGGCCGAGAAUGUCGAUGUUCUCGUAAAACUAUCGGCAAAAAUUUAAACGCAAACAAGAAAAAUCUGUUUGCCCUUCCUUCGUUGAAAGCUGCACCCGCUCGCGUGGCGGUUGCUGCCUAAAUAAAGGAAAGCCCCAUUCUGCUUCGGGCCACGGAAGUAGAGUGGGCCUAAAUAGUGGUUGCCUGAUUAGCUGAUACUGAUAAGCUGAACAGAAAGAUCAUCAGUUAGUUUGGAUUUGAUCCUGUCUGUGGGAGUGAAUCCAGAUGAAAUUUUUAAUACACAGACUACGUUCUGUAGACGUUCGUAUAGUGGGUUGCGUGGACGCGAGUUCGAUUCUCGCCAUCUCCACUG
rnacentral:tmRNA from 3 species